GGCUAAGAAAAUUCAACUUGAAUAAUGGACUGAUACACCAGAGGUACGCUUGCGUUU
rnacentral:tRNA from 1 species